rnacentral:rRNA from 1 species
CAGUAGCCGCGGGAAUACGUAGGUGGCGAGCGUUGUCCGGAAUCAUUGGGCGUAAAGGGAGCGCAGGCGGGCAUGUAAGUCUUUCUUAAAAGUGCGGGGCUCAACCCCGUGAUGGGAAAGAAACUAUGUGUCUUGAGUACAGGAGAGGAAAGCGGAAUUCCCAGUGUAGCGGUGAAAUGCGUAGAUAUUAGGAGGAACACCAGUGGCAAAGGCGGCUUUCUGGACUGCAACUGACGCUGAGGCUCGAAAGCCAGGGGAGCGAACGGGAUUAGAUACCCCAGUAGUCCCUGUCUCUUAUACC